rnacentral:rRNA from 1 species
GAUGAACGCUGGCGGCGUGCCUAAUACAUGCAAGUAGAACGCUGAAGGAAGGAGCUUGCUCUUUCCGGAUGAGUUGCGAACGGGUGAGUAACGCGUAGGUAACCUGCCUGGUAGCGGGGGAUAACUAUUGGAAACGAUAGCUAAUACCGCAUAACAGUAGAUGUUGCAUGACAACUAUUUGAAAGGGGCAAUUGCUCCACUACCAGAUGGACCUGCGUUGUAUUAGCUAGUUGGUGAGGUAACGGCUCACCAAGGCGACGAUACAUAGCCGACCUGAGAGGGUGAUCGGCCACACUGGGAAUGAGACACGGCCCAGACUCCUACGGGAGGCAGCAGUAGGGAAUCUUCGGCAAUGGACGGAAGUCUGACCGAGCAACGCCGCGUGAGUGAAGAAGGGUUUCGGAUCGUAAAGCUCUGUUGUAAGAGAAGAACGAGUGUGAGAGUGGAAAGUUCACACUGUGACGGUAUCUUACCAGAAGGGGACGGCUAACUACGUG